rnacentral:snRNA from 1 species
GCAUAUGAGGGUGAUCUGGCUGCAACAUCUGCCUCCCCUUUGAUUGCCAGGGUUGAUUUGGCUGAUCUGGCUGGCUAGGCAAGUAUGCCCUUUCUCUCUCACUGCUACAUGUGCAUCCCUCCUGAAGCUGCAUUCUCAAUCAUAGAGGAUGACCAUCGCCGAUAGAGGAAGACAGGUCAAGAGUAUGCGACUAGGUGUAACUGCGCUCCCCUGCUAGAAACUCCAAACAAGCUCUCAUGUGUUUAUUGGCCAUUUGCAUAUCUUCUUUGGAGGAAUGUCUGUUCAAGAAUUUGAUCAUUUUUUAUUCAGGUUGUUUGAUU